rnacentral:rRNA from 1 species
ACCCCAUAUGCUUUCGAGUGAAAUGGAUUUCCGCCUAAAGAGAAGCUUGCGGCUGAUUAGCUUGUUGGUGAGGUAAUGGCUCACCAAGGCGACGAUCAGUAUCUGGUUUGAGAGGACGAUCAGACACACUGGAACUGAGACACGGUCCAGACUCCUACGGGAGGCAGCAGUGGGGAAUUUUCCGCAAUGGGCGAAAGCCUGACGGAGCAAUACCGCGUGAGGGAUGACGGCCUAUGGGUUGUAAACCUCUUUUUUCAGGGAGGAAUCAAUGACGUGUACCUGAAGAAUAAGCAUCGGCUAACUCCGUGCCAGCAGCCGCGGUAAGACGGAGGAUGCAAGUGUUAUCCGGAAUCACUGGGCGUAAAGCGUCUGUAGGUGGUCAAAUAAGUCAACUGUUAAAUCUUGAGGCUCAACCUCAAAAUCGCAGUCGAAACUAUUAGACUAGAGUAUAGUAGGGGUAAAGGGAAUUUCCAGUGGAGCGGUGAAAUGCGUAGAGAUUGGAAGNGAACNACCGAUGGCGAAGGCACUUUACUGGGCUAUUACUAACACUCAGAGACGAAAGCUAGGGUAGCAAAUGGGAUUAGAUACCCCAGUAGUCCUAGCUGUAAACAAUGGAUACUAGAUGUUGAACAGAUCGACCUGUGCAGUAUCAAAGCUAACGCGUUAAGUAUCCCGCCUGGGAAGUAUGCUCGCAAGNAGUGAAACUCAAAGGAAUUGACGGGGGCCCGCACAAGCGGUGGAGCAUGUGGUUUAAUUCGAUGCAACGCGAAGAGCCUUACCAGGGUUUGACAUGAUACGAAUUUUUUUGAAAGAAAAGAGUGCCGUUUGGAACGUAUACACAGGUGGUGCAUGGCUGUCGUCAGCUCGCGUCGUGAGAUGUUGGGUUAAGUCCCGCAACGAGCGCAACCCUUAUUUUUAGUUGCCUUAUGGAACUCUAAAAAGACUGCCGGUCAUAAACCGGAGGAAGGCGGGGAUGACGUCAAGUCAGCAUGCCCCUUACACCCUGGGCUACACACGUGCUACAAUGGGCGAGACAAUGAGCUGCAAGCCUGCGAAGGUUAGCUAAUCUAUAAACUCGUUCUAAGUUCGGAUUGUAGGCUGCAACUCGCCUGCAUGAAGUUGGAAUCGCUAGUAAUCGCUGGUCAGCUA